rnacentral:rRNA from 1 species
UACGUAGGGGGCAAGCGUUGUCCGGAAUUAUUGGGCGUAAAGAGCUCGUAGGCGGUGUGUCGCGUCGGCCGUGAAAACCUGCAGCUUAACUGUGGGCUUGCGGUCGAUACGGGCAUCACUGGAGUUCGGCAGGGGAGACUGGAAUUCCUGGUGUAGCGGUGAAAUGCGCAGAUAUCAGGAGGAACACCAAUAGCGAAGGCAGCUCGCUGGGACGGUACUGACGCUAAGGCGCGAAAGCGUGGGGAGCGAACAGG